CUUGCCGUAUUCGAGUCGGCGGAGCGACUUGAAUUGCGGCCACGGCGCCUGGGCUCGGAAGCGGACCCUCGGUCGUGGUGACGAUGUGUGAGAGGCGGAUCUCGCGAAUGGCGAGGCC
rnacentral:misc_RNA from 1 species